CCUACGGGGGGCUGCAGUGGGGAAUAUUGGACAAUGGGCGAAAGCCUGAUCCAGCCAUGCCGCGUGUGUGAAGAAGGCCUUCGGGUUGUAAAGCACUUUCAGUGGGGAAGAAAGCCUUGGGGCUAAUACCCUCGAGGAAGGACAUCACCCACAGAAGAAGCACCGGCUAACUCCGUGCCAGCAGCCGCGGUAAUACGGAGGGUGCGAGCGUUAAUCGGAAUUACUGGGCGUAAAGCGCGCGUAGGUGGUCUGAUAAGCCGGUUGUGAAAGCCCCGGGCUCAACCUGGGAACGGCAUCCGGAACUGUCAGGCUAGAGUGCAGGAGAGGAAGGUAGAAUUCCCGGUGUAGCGGUGAAAUGCGUAGAGAUCGGGAGGAAUACCAGUGGCGAAGGCGGCCUUCUGGACUGACACUGACGCUGAGGUGCGAAAGCGUGGGUAGCAAACAGGAUUAGAUACCCGAGUAGUC
rnacentral:rRNA from 1 species